CGGCGGAUAGGAAACACUUGGCUGUGUUCACUUUCGACGGUUGGGCGACACGUGUUGUUUUCGGACUACACUGGGCACUAGAGACACGUCUGCACGCUUCGGCACUCCACAGCGAACUGUUCCAACGCG